ACGAACGCUGGCGGCGUGCUUAACACAUGCAAGUCGAGCGGAAAGGCCUCUUCGGGGGUACUCGAGCGGCGAACGGGUGGGUAACACGUGAGUAAUCUGCCCUUCACUUUGGGAUAACUACCGGAAACGGUGGCUAAUACCGGAUACGACACAGGUACGCAUGUGCUCUGUGUGGAAAGUUUUUUCGGUGGGGGAUGUGCUCGCGGCCUAUCAGCUUGUUGGUGGGGUAAUGGCCUACCAAGGCUUCGACGGGUAGCCGGCCUGAGAGGGUGACCGGCCACACUGGGACUGAGACACGGCCCAGACUCCUACGGGAGGCAGCAGUGGGGAAUAUUGGACAAUGGGCGGAAGCCUGAUCCAGCAACGCCGCGUGAGGGAUGACGGCCUUCGGGUUGUAAACCUCUUUCAGUACCGACGAAGCGCCGAUGAUGGUGGUGACGGUAGGUACAGAAGAAGCACCGGCCAACUACGU
rnacentral:rRNA from 1 species